rnacentral:misc_RNA from 1 species
UUAAAUUCAGGGGGUCUUCCCACUUCAUCUGAGGUCUAAUUCAUAGAUGCACAAAUUCGCUCCCAAGUCCACACACCAACAAGUCAACACACCUUGCGGCAUGCCUUCCUGCUAGCAAGCGUACCAGUUCACUCCUUUGUUCAUUUGUUUCUUUUGGCUUCACAACAUAGGGUCCGUGGAUUGGAUUCACAAUUAAGUGA